CAUUUUUGCCUGAUGAAGAGAUGCAGAACAACAUUCUUGGAACAAGAUUCUCCAACAUCUUGAACAAAAUUUAAAACUGCAAAACUAAGAGUCUCAUGAAGAGGGCAUCCUAAAGGAUAGGACACCCUUCGGGACAUUCUCCCAUUUUAUGAAGCAGUAACAACAUUCUGAAGGAUCUCACGAAUAACAGAAAGGGAUGCUUUGUCAUCAUCCACCACUGGAGUCUCGCCUGCAAAUGAAGCGUUGAAGAGAAGGAAUGAAAGAAGCCCUAAUUUGGUGAUAUGUGGUCCACAGUCCUCAGCGGAAAGGUCUGCUAACAAAGCAUUUGCUUGUGCCAGUGGCAGUUCACUAAAUAUUAGACCCAGAACAUUGCCCAGUUUUACAUGGCCUGAAGGAUUUAUUUGGAGCAAGGUACCGGCAUGACAACUGGGCUUAUGAAGCUGUUCCCCUGCAGCAGAAGACCUCCACCAGUUCCUUUCAGAAUUUGGCAGCCAGCAGUAGUCAGCCCCUUCUGGAAGGUUCCAUUCCAGCCUCUCCUCUGCAGUGGCACCUUUUGUGAUCUGGAGACAGAAAACAAGGUAACCCUUGGUAUUUACAUCUCAGAGACAAUGACGAUUAAUGCACUGGGAGCAUGGUUUAAUUUGGAAGCAUGGCAGACAGAAAAAUAAUGAGUUGCAACUAUGCUAAAUCUGGUGAUUUCAUCCCCACUGUCAGAAAUAUCUAGCAAAAUUAACUGAAGGCAAACCUGAUAAAAAAUAUGAAAGUUUCUUUCAUUGGGGGCCUGAUAGGCAACUCUGGUCU